AGUGAACGCUGGCGGCAGGCCUAACACAUGCAAGUCGAGCGGCAGCGCGGGGCAACCUGGCGGCGAGCGGCGGACGGGUGAGGAAUGCAUCGGAAUCUACCCUGUCGUGGGGGAUAACGUAGGGAAACUUACGCUAAUACCGCAUACGACCGAGAGGUGAAAGUGGGGGACCGCAAGGCCUCACGCGAUUGGAUGAGCCGAUGCCGGAUUAGCUAGUUGGUGGGGUAAAGGCCCACCAAGGCGACGAUCCGUAGCUGGUCUGAGAGGAUGAUCAGCCACACUGGGACUGAGACACGGCCCAGACUCCUACGGGAGGCAGCAGUGGGGAAUAUUGGACAAUGGGCGCAAGCCUGAUCCAGCCAUGCCGCGUGUGUGAAGAAGGCCUUCGGGUUGUAAAGCACUUUGUUCGGGAAGAAAUCGUGCGGAUUAAUACUUCGUACGGAUGACGGUACCGAAAGAAUAAGCACCGGCUAACUUCGUGCCAGCAGCCGCGGUAAUACGAAGGGUGCAAGCGUUACUCGGAAUUCACUGGGCGUAAAGGCGUGCGUAGGCGGUUGGUUAAGUCUGCUGUGAAAGCCCUGGGCUCAACCUGGGGAACUGCAGUGGAUACUGGCUAGCUAGAGUGUGAUAGAGGAUGGUGGAAUUCCCCGGUGUAGCGGUGAAAUGCGUAGAGAUCGGGAGGAACACCAGUGGCGAAGGCGGCCCAUCUGGAUCAACACUGACGCUGAGGCACGAAAAGCGUGGGGGAGCAAACAGGAUUAGAUACCCUGGUAG
rnacentral:rRNA from 1 species